rnacentral:pre_miRNA from 1 species
GGUACUCGGGGAGAGGUUACCCGAGCAACUUUGCAUCUGGACGACGAAUGUUGCUCGUUGAACCCCUUUUCGGUAUC